UCCUGCCAGGCCCCUGAGAUCCAGUCCCUCCAAAACAAAGCAGCCUGAAAAUAGAAAACUUACUAGGCUUUUCCCUGCCUCCCUUUUUAUCUUGGAAGAGGAAAGGGAAGAGGUGACAGAGAAGAGGAGAGAGGAGAAGACGGGCCAGGAAACAGCACGGAGCCCUGGAGCAUCAUGUGACCGCAGGCUGAAAGCGGAGCCGCGGGCGUCUUGCCCGGGUCUCUCAGAUGCCCAGGGACACCGCUGACCUCCUCCUGUGCGCCGGAGCCUCUGAGGGCUGGAAAGUCCAUCCAUCUCCUCGUGUGCCCAGGCUCCUCUCCCUCUCCUCCUCGUCCCACCUCCCUUCCUAGCAGAAGUUCCCUCUUAUAGUCAUGCGAUGGCCACUCACCUGGGAAGGACCAGCAUCUGCCGGGCAUGCAGCAGAGGUGGUGUUUGAGUCAGCUGUUUUGCUGCUGUGAUCGAAAGACCAGACAAGAGCCAUUUUAGGGGUGGAGAAGUUUAUAAGCCACUUAUGGUUUCAGAGGUCUCCGUCCACAGACAGCUGACUCCAUUGCCCUGGGCCAGAGCCACCCUCCUACUGUGCUCCACAAAGUCCUCAGGGGCCCACACUCCUUCCUGCUCAUCUCUGUCCAAUCCAGAGGGAUGAGUCUUGCCUUCAUGGUGCCAUGUGGCAGCUAGAGCCCCAACCAUCAAUCUGCAUUCCAGGCUCAAGAUGAAGGUCGAAAUAAGAAGAAACUCAUCAAAAGCAGCACACUGCCUGUCUUUUAAAGGAAUGAAGUGUCACAUCCGGAGAAGUGGCCCGGAUCACAUGCUGAUGAUGUGUGGCACUCGGGAAGUUGGAGAUGAAGAGCCAGGCAGGACAGACUCCAUCCAGCCUCUCUUCCUAACAGGUCUGUGGCUGUUGGCCGUGGUCCUUUUUCCAACCCUGAGCUUCAAGCUCUUCCACUCUCAUGCCCCAACUUAUUUUCCUUAGUUGAAGCCUUAGCCUUGGGAUCUGGAAAGCAGUUUGGAUGUGCAUGGUGGUUAAAGCUCUCCAGAGGGAAAAUAGAAAGUCACCAUCAAGUAAUGAGACCAGACUAUUGGGUGUCUCAUA